GAUAAAAAUAUUUUUAUUUUAUUUAUAUUUAUUUUUAUUUUAUUAUGAAAUUAUUCGGUUUUUAUUAAAUUUUUUUGAAAUAAUAUUAAUAAUGAUAGUUUAUUUAGUACUGUGAAGGAUUAUUUUUAUUUCUUAAAAAGAAAAUUUUAUUUGUUGUACCUUGUGUAUCAGGGUUGUCUAAUUUAUUUUAAUAUAUAUUUUUAUCUCGAUUUUUAAGGAGCUAUUUUAUUUUUAUUUUAUUGUUUUAUAAAUAUUUAUAAAAAUAUAAUAGUAAUGAAAUGUUAUUCGUCUUGAAUUGUAUCUAGUUGCUUAAGAAAUUAAUUAAAUUGAAUGUGUGAAAGGAAUUUAUUAAUUUAUUAAUUUAUUUUUUUUAUAUGGUUGUAAUUAUAGGGAUAAGCUUGUGAUUAAAUUUUUAUAAAAUUGUUAUUUGUUAUAUUUAUUAUAGGAUUAAAAUUUUUUAUUGGUUUUAGUAUGUUAUUAUUAAUAUUUAUUUUAUUUGAUUUUUUUUUAUUUUUAAGUUUUUUAUUAGGCUAUAUUAUUAAUUUUUGAUGUUUAUUAAUAAUGGAUUAAUUAGUAUAUUAAUUAUUGUUUUGAAUAUAUGUUUAUAUUAAAGAUUAAAAUAAGGAAUUCGGCAAAUUUAAUUUUCACCUGUUUAUUAAAAACAUGUCCUUUAGAUUAUGAUUUAAGGUCGGGCCUGCCCAAUGAUUAUUUAAUGGCCGCAGUAUAUUGACUGUGCAAAGGUAGCAUGAUCAUUAGUUUCUUAAUUGGAAGCUUGUAUGAAUGGUUUAAUGAGAAAUUAACUGUCUCUUUUUUAAUUGUAGAAUUUUAUUUUUGAGUGAAAAAGCUUAAAUAUUAAUAAAAGACGAGAAGACCCUAUAGAGUUUUACUUAAUUGGUUGGUUUAUGUUUAUGUUUAAUAGUAUGAUCUAGUUUAGUUAAGUUUUGUUGGGGUGAUAGAAAAAUUUGAUUAACUUUUUUAUAAUUUUUACAUUUUUUUAAUGAUUUUUUGAUCCUUAAAAAAGAUUAUUAGAUUAAAUUACCUUAGGGAUAACAGCGUAAUUUCUUUUGAAAGCUCUUAUUGAUAAAGAAGUUUGCGACCUCGAUGUUGGAUUAAAAUUAAUUUGUGGUGUAGUAGCUAUAAUGAUUGGGUCUGUUCGACCUUUAAAAUUUUACAUGAUCUGAGUUUAAACCGGUGUGAGCCAGGUUGGUUUCUAUCUUUAUUAUUUAAUUAGUUUUUAGUACGAAAGGACCAAA
rnacentral:rRNA from 1 species